rnacentral:tRNA from 1 species
GAUGUGGCUCAGUGGUAGAGUAGUUAGUUGCCUAGCAUGCUCGAGGCCUUGGGUUCAAUCCCCAGCAUGAAACA